rnacentral:tRNA from 1 species
GGCAACGGCUACUUCCUCUCUCAAAGGGGAGACGUGGGUUCGAAUCCCACCGCCA